rnacentral:rRNA from 1 species
AACGAACGCUGGCGGUAUGCCUAACACAUGCAAGUCGAACGAGACCUCCGGGACUAGUUGCGCUCGGGUGCGUCACGCGUGGGAACCUGCCCUUAGGCACGGAAUUACUCCUUGUCAGGGGUGCUAAUAUCGGGAAACGUCCUCGAAUAAAAGAUAUAUCGCAUUUGGAUGGGCCGGCGUUGGUUUAGCUUGUUGGGAGGGUAAAAGCCUACCAAGGCGACGCUCCAUAGCUGGGCUGAGAGAAUGAGCAGCGACACUGGGACUGAGACGCGGCCCAGACUCCUACGGGAUGCAGCAGUGGGGAAUAUAGGAAAAUGGGCGAAAGCCUGAACCAGCAAUGCCGCGUGAGUGAUGAAGUCCGGAGGGUAGUAAAGCUCGUUUACCCGGGAUGAUAAUGACAGUACCGGGAGAAUAAGCUCCGGCUAACUCCGUG